UUACGUUUUAUACCAGAUGAGC
rnacentral:miRNA from 1 species